GCGCAGAGAUGGUAAUCCUCCCAAACACACACCGAAGGACCCGCUGACGUCUCGCACAUGCGCACUGAUAUUACAUAUAUAUUUAAGUGUAUUACACGGACUAAUUCAUUAACAGUGUGUAGAUAAACGGAUUACAUAAACAAAGAUCGGCUGAAAACAGGAAGUGAGUUUUUCUCCUCUUUGAAUUUAUUUUUUCCUGGAUCAUGGAUUGCUGAUGUAAACUCUUCCCACAUCCCAUAAUAAGAGCUGUGAUAAUGAUCAGAGGUCAGUAGUUGGUCUUCAGCCGGCGGUUCUCCUCCCUCAGUUUCUCCACCUCCUCCACCAGAGACUCGUUCACGGAGUAUUUCUCUAUCAGGCCGUGGAUCUCGUUCUGAAACAGAGACACGUCAGGAUUCGCGAAGUCUUCGAAACGAACAGGAAAAAAACGUUACUUCUACUCAAAGCGUCUGAACACCUCUCCCACAACAUUCAUCCAUUAAUACAGGAGGAAGAGGAACAUCUUAAAACCGAGAGCAGAAAGAGAAACGCUCGUACCAGCUGGAUGUAAAACUGUCGCACCAUCUCAACCUGCAGGUUCACGAUGUCUCUGUGACACACAUCCCUGAAGAAGAGGAGGAGGAGGAAGAGGGGGAUUUAUAUCAACUUAUUGUGAUUGAUAUUGAACCUGUGCUUCUUCUAGUAUCGUCAUUUUAGCAUUUUUACAUAUUUAAUAAACACAUUUAAUGUCA